rnacentral:rRNA from 1 species
CUUUCUUUGCUGGCGACCGGCGCACGGGUGAGUAACACGUAUCCAACCCGCCCUUUACUCGGGGAUAGCCUUUCGAAAGAAAGAUUAAUACCCGAUAGCAUAAUGAUUCCGCAUGGUUUCAUUAUUAAAGGAUUCCGGUAAAGGAUGGGGAUGCGUUCCAUUAGGUUGUUGGUGAGGUAACGGCUCACCAAGCCUUCGAUGGAUAGGGGUUCUGAGAAGAAGGUCCCCCACAUUGGAACUGAGACACGGUCCAA